rnacentral:misc_RNA from 1 species
AACGCACAUUGCGCCUCCCUUAACCGGGGGGCAUGCCUGUCUGAGCGUCAUUUAAACCUAUGGACCCAAUUGGGUUCCGUAUUGGGCCUCGCCUCUUUAAGCGGCGUCGCCUUGAAGGCAUCGGCCUCAUGGAGUGGACGGGAUCCUUAUGGACUGACCAUUUCAUAGCCAGAUUUUAACUCUGACUUGACCUCAGAUCAGGUAGGGACACCGCCUGAACUUAA